GGAGAGAAAACAGCAUCACCCUGCCAGCCUAUGCCAUCUGGCAUGGACUGGACAAAGCCAAGGGAUCUCAGGUGAGCCAGGGCGGUUUACCCGGGGCUAGGAAAAGAGGACCCUAAAAAGCCAUCCAGUGUUUGAGACAAGCCCAGAUACCCUUCUAGGGAAUGCAGCCUCCUGAAGGGCCUAGGGGUACCCCCAAGGCCUCAGCCAGCUCUGAGAGGCUACCCGGUGAUGCCAACUGGGUCUGCUUGCUUUCUCUUUAAUCUUAACUCAUUUUCAGGCCAUUAGGAACAAAGGGACAGCCGCUUUGGCUGGAGGCCCUGAGGCUUCUUUUCAUUAGUAUUCAGAUGAGGUAAUAAGGUCACUUCCGGCCCAGCUGGCACCGCCUCCCCUGCCCCACUUGUCAACCCUGCUGGAGGGACCACUGGACCAGAGGCCUGCGAUGGAGUGGCUCAACCACGGGACAGCCAGAUCCCCGAGACCAUAGGGAUAACCGCACCCUUUCGGGUCCUGUUCAGUUGACUGAGAUGAAAGAGAGAUAGAUGGGCCAGGCAGGAAGAUAUCAGGGAGUGGGGAAUGCAGGCUUACAGUAUGAAAGCCCUACUGUAGAUGGGUAAGUCUAAACUGAACAACCCCCUGGGCCUCUGCUUGGUAUACAUAGCCUGCGGUCAGGCAGGGGCUCCCGACAUGGCCCUCACUACCAGCUGGCCCACAUCUCAGUGUUAUCCACAAUGGCCCUUUAACUGUCUGAGUGACAGAUAAAGCAGGUACAUUAGUGGCCUUGAUAAGGAAACCAGGACCCAGAGAGGUUACACCAGCUGCCCGGUGUCCCCCGGCAGACAGGUGGCGCUAGUGAGCCGUCUCUAGGUUCUGCUCUGCAUCUGACUCCUGGUAGGCGCUCCCUGAGUCUUCACUGCUCGGGUCACCUGGAUGUCCUCCUGCCCUUCUGCUGAGGGUGGACAACAGGGUCCCCGGUAGGAGGCAGACAGACUCAGGUCCUUGCUAAGAUGGCAUUUCAGGUCUUCCAGAGCCGUGGCACUGUCGUGCCCAGGCUGGGGUCAAGGUGCCAGCCCACAUCACACGGGCAGAACAGGAGCACCCUGAGUUGUUUCAGGCGUCGUGCACCAUGGCAGACACCACGCAGCUGAACUAACGCCAUGAGGAGGCGGGGAAACCUUAGAGAGACAGGGGAAUGGGCAGCCCUACCUUCCUCGGGCUCAGGAAUGUGGGGAACAGAAAUGGGGUGUCAACAGGGUUUUGGGUGGUGGUGAAUGGUUCCUAAAAGGCCUAUUCCAAAUUCAGACACGGGACAACACGGAGCACCUCGUGCUGGGACAGGUAGAGGUUAUCUGCCAAGACGCACAGUCAGAGGCCCUUGUGAUCAGGAAACCGCAGACAGACAAGGACUGCCCGCAGGAGUGCUCCCAGGGCCACACCAGACCUAUGCUGGCUGUCACCAUCGUCUCCAUCCCUGACAUACUCAGAGGAAACCAAGGCACGAAAGACAGGGAGUUAAUUUCGCCUGAAGCUACAGCUUCUUGGGCAGAGUGAGUGUGACUGUGCAUUCUCGGCUUCCCCAGCAAACCAGAGCAGCCCGAGCUGACUAACGGAGCAUCCCUGCCAGGAAGCUCUCCCCCAUCCAGGCCUUUUCUCUACCUGGGUCUGGUACAGACAUCAUCACGGGCUACAUUCAGCAACCCCGUGGUACCUGGUCCGGUGUGGGGGGGGGAGAGCAUGAAGGUUUUGGGAUUGAGGAGGGCUGGCCCACGGCCUCCCUCCAGACCCCCAGCCUGCAGCUGCGGCCACAGUGUGUCCUCUGGGCCUGGGUGAGAGAACACCAGGGCUGCUUGCUCUUUUGUGAGGCUGGCUUUGAGGUGGUUCUGGAGGUCUCAUUUAUCAGCUCCGCGGGUGGCUAACUGGAGGGUCCCAGCGUCAAUUACAGCUGCCCCUACCCCGGUCCUGGCUGGGCACGGAGAAGCUGUGGGGGAAAAAUAAUGGGCACGGAGUCCUGGGAUGAAUCAUCCUGGAGGAAGCAGCUGUGUUGAUGAGAUUUUAAAGCCGGCACGAGAGAGAAAAUAUGAACCAUGCUACAGUAAUUUAGCCUGUGAGCACCCUGGCACAUUUUUAAUUAAAGCUGUUUCGGAGUCAAA